CGUGUCCCCUGCAUCGGCAGGCGGACUCUCAACCACUGCGCCACCAGGGAAGACCCCAAAACUUUCUUUUAUUGAGCUUUGCUGCUGUGCAGUUGUCAUGAUGAAACACGAAGAUGCCAGAAUUGUACCUCACGAUAAGGCUUUAAUUGCCAGAAGGUUCUGAAAGUGCAACAGUAAUUCUAGGUAUAGAUAUAUUAAUUUGAGUUAGUUCUCUUGCAGGGUGCCCUAUAGUUUUUGUCAUCGGGUGAAAUAGGAACAAAUGUAGGUCUGCUGGGGUCUUGACACAGUACCACAUGGACCUGGACAAAAGCAUUGUUAAGAUAGAGAAAUGAGGGAAAGAGGGAUUAAGAUCCUUGCCCCCGGUCCCAAAGUUAGAGCCAUGUACUAGAGGCUUUCCUUCCAUUAACUGAAGACUUAGGUAGAAGAAGAAUGAGAUUGGAACUCAGACCUGGACUCUUGUCCUACCUACUCUGCUUUGUGAAUUAGGGCAAGUCAUUUAACUUCUCUGAAUUUCAUUUUCCUCUGCUGUAACAGAUGCACACUUUGAACUAUUAUACUUUAUUGAAUCCUGAGUCAUCAAAAAUCCUUAAAAGGGUGCCUUCACCAUUAUCUGCUGGAUUUUCUUCCAAGCCCCUGACACUCAUUCCAUAAGUUUUGAUGCACACAUGCUGGCAGUGACAACUCUAUUGCUGCCUGGUCUGACCACACUGUAAGAUGUGGCUGAUUUCAGAGAUGUCAGAAUGUAAAAUACUGUGCAUCUUGGAAUUGAUGACAGAUCGUAGGUGAUCUCUGAGCUCCUUUUCAACCUCAGUUCUAUGACAUCUGUGACUUAAUAACAUUUUAUUGCUGGUUUAUGUAUUUUUUAAUGUAAAUGAUUCAAGAUAAAACAUAAGUUUCUUGGUAGUGGAAAAGUAAGAAUCAUGUCUGUCUUUUUCACCUCUGAAUCCCCAAUAGCUAGAACAAUGCCUAGCAUGUAGUAAAUGCUCAAUAAAUAUUUACUGAAUGAAUUAAGCAAAUCUUCAUUUCAUAUUGCAAAUACAACUUUU